UUGGAGGGCAAGUCUGGUGCCAGCAGCCGCGGUUAUUCCAGCUCCAAUAGCGUAUAUUAAAGUUGUUGCAGUUAAAUAGCUCGUAGUUGAAUUUCGGGAUCAAUAUGUCGGUCGUGCCUUCGGUACGUACUGGUAUCAUUGGUCUCUCCUUUCUGACGAACCAUGAUGUCAUUAAUUUGGUGUUAUGGGGAGUUAGGACUGUUACUUUGAAAAAAUUAGAGUGUUUAAAGCAGGCUUUAGCUUGAAUACAUUAGCAUGGAAUAGUGAAAUAGGACGUUCGAACCUAUUUUGUUGGUUUCUAGGAUCAACGUAAUGAUUAAUAGGGAUAGUUGGGGGCAUUAGUAUUCAAUUGUCAGAGGUGAGAUUCUUGGAUUUAUUGAAGACUAACUACUGCGAAAGCAUUUGCCAAGGAUGUUUUCAUUAAUCAAGAACGAGAGUUAGGGGAUCGAAGACGAUCAGAUACCGUCGUAGUCUUAACCAUAAACUAUGCCGACUAGGGAUCGGAUGAUGUAAUUUUUUAAUGACUCA
rnacentral:rRNA from 1 species